UACGAAGGGUGCAAACGUUGCUCGGAAUCAUUGGGCGUAAAGCGCACGUAGGCGGCCCUGCAAGUCGGAUGUGAAAUCCCUCGGCUCAACCGAGGACGUGCAUUCGAAACUGCUUGGCUCGAGUAUGGAAGAGGGUCGCGGAAUUCCCGGUGUAGAGGUGAAAUUCGUAGAUAUCGGGAGGAACACCGAAAGCGAAGGCAGGCCACUGGGUGUCUCCUGACACUGCUAGGACGAAAGCGUGGGUAGCGAAUGGG
rnacentral:rRNA from 1 species